GACGAAGGGGGCUAGCGUUGUUCGGAAUUACUGGGCGUAAAGCGCGUGUAGGCGGUUGUCCAAGUUGGAUGUGAAAGCCUUGAGCUUAACUCAAGAAAUGCAUUCAGGACUGGAUGACUAGGGGACCGGAGAGGAUAGUGGAAUUCCCAGUGUAGUGGUGAAAUACGUAGAGAUUGGGAAGAACACCAGUGGCGAAGGCGACUUACUGGACACAUAUUGACGCUGAGGUGCGAAAGCGUGGGGAGCAAACAGG
rnacentral:rRNA from 1 species